GAAUUCACAGGUGACACCUGUGCCAGUGUUCUGAUUAGCCCGGGAACUACUCUGGGAGCUUAAAGGCACAAUGUGUCUUUUUUUGUGAACUUUUGAAGUGUAAUGCAUUCAAAAAUCAACUAUACAUAUCAAUAGAAUGUGAAGAAAUAACACUACUGACAUUUUCUAAUCGAAGAAUAUGCAUAGCAUUGCAGAGAUCUCCUCUAGAAUUAGCGUGCUAACCGACUUGCCCCGGGUCGUCCAGUCUUGCAAUACCAGUUUAUGUCUGAGGUGGCGACAGGGAGUAACAUACCGGCCAAACCGUCUUCAGUGCAGCCCAGAGCAGUCGAGAAAGAGACGACGCAAUUACGCACGCUCUGCUCCCACCCCCUCCUGCUCCUCCCCUCCCCCACGGAGUUAAAGUUCUACAGUGAAGUGUACUGCGAGAAUGGCCGAAAGUUCUAGGAAGAGACCUCCAUCGCCUCCAGCUAAAAAAAACUCGAUCUGAGGCGAAAAGAAUAUCAGAUGGGAAGCAAGCAAAUACACGUUAAUCUAGGGAGUGCUUUCCACCGAUGGAGACUGCUUGGAUAGCAAGGAGAUGCAGUUCUAUUCUGAACUUGCGACAUUUCUUCUUGACUGGAUCAGAAUUCCAGUCCAGUCCUCCCCUAGGAAGGUGUAACGAUUACAUUGCUGUUGCCCAACAGAUUGGUGUGUCAACAGGUUGAAUUUCCUGCUGCAGAUCACCUCUUCUUUUCCUGUGGCUCAUCAACAUGAAGCCUGACUCGUUAGCCCAACUUCUUGCUGUUGAAGACUACUAAGGACUAUCCAUGUGCCCAGCUGCUUCCCUCCUGCCUCAUAUAGUCCAAAAGUUACAUUUCUAUUCAUGUUGUUGCACUUGGUAGAUGUAAAGUUUAUUCCUGUCUUGUAGUUUUAUAAUAAAUACCAGGAAUCAGGAUUGGUGAAACAUUGGUUGUGCCUGAAAGUGUUCUUUGAUCAAGAUUGGUAUACUAACAUCAUGCUUUUCGCUCCUGUUCCUGACUUCUUAGAAUCUAUUUGUUGUUAAAGAGUUGUUUAAACUAAUAUGUAAUUUCAAGUGGUAGCU